rnacentral:misc_RNA from 1 species
UUUUUUUUUCUGCCUAUUUUAGAGGUCAUCCUCUGCCCAUUCAGGUGGGGAAUGGCCCUCCAUGCCCUGCCUGGAAGUGGAUGUCUUUCCCUUCCUUCGGGUGGAGUUCUACAUAGGUUUUGGGUUGAAUUGCUUGUACGUUCGUUGUUCAUGGAUAAGGAUUCUUAUAACCUGCGAUAGUCUUUUGAUGCUACUUAGCAGUGUUUUGCUUGAAUCUUUUGAAACUGGUCUUCUGUUGUCUUCUCUUGGUGUUGAUGUCCAGAGCUAUGUUCGAUUUGAUGCUGAUAACUGCAAAAACCUUGCUUUAGCUUGCAGAAGGGUGCAAAUCUGUUUUAGGCUGUGAGGAUGGUCAUCUCCGGUUUGGCCGCCUGACCCUUGAAAGCUCAGAGGCUAUAGGAGCUUUGGCCAUUGACUUUUCCAUUGAUCAUCAAAGAUGGUGGUUUUUCUGCCUUUUGAGGGGCCUUCUUUGUUUCCAUGGAAGGAUAUUUUCUGGAGGAAGAACCUUCAAUGGCUUUAGGCCUUUGGUGGCGAUUUUUCCAUAUGCGGCGG